UACGGAGGGAGCUAGCGUUGUUCGGAUAUACUGGGCGUAAAGCGCACGUAGGCGGCGUCGUAAGUCAGGGGUGAAAUCCCGGAGCUCAACUCCGGAACUGCCCUUGAAACUGCAAUGCUAGAAUCUUGGAGAGGCGAGUGGAAUUCCGAGUGUAGAGGUGAAAUUCGUAGAUAUUCGGAAGAACACCAGUGGCGAAGGCGACUCGCUGGACAAGUAUUGACGCUGAGGUGCGAAAAGCGUGGGGAGCAAACAGG
rnacentral:rRNA from 1 species